rnacentral:tRNA from 1 species
GAGGUGUUAGUUAUAUAAUAACAUUACUUUGUCAAGGUGAAAUAAUGAGUUAAAACCUCAUACCCCUCU